rnacentral:rRNA from 1 species
AAUGAACGUUGGCGGCAUGGAUUAGGCAUGCAAGUCGAGCGAGAGGGGUUUUGAAGCUUGCUUUGAAACCCGGAAAGCGGCGCAAGGGAGAGUAACGAGUAGUUAUCUACCCCAAGGCCCGGAAUAGCUGCGGGAAACUGCAGGUAAUGCCGGAUAAUAUCCCCGGAUCAAAGGUGUGAUUCCGCCUUGGGAGGAGACUGCUUUGUACUAGCUAGUUGGUAGGGUAAUGCCUACCAAGGCUACGAUGCAUAGCGGGCGUGAGAGCGUGGCCCGUCUCACUGGGACUGAAACACUGCCCAGACACCUACGGGUGGCUGCAGUCGAGAAUCUUCGGCAAUGGGCGAAAGCCUGACCGAGCGAUGCCGCGUGCGGGAUGAAGGCCCUCGGGUUGUAAACCGCUGUCGUAGAGGAGAAAGGUCUGAUGAAGAAUCAGAUUUGAUCUAUUCUAGGAGGAAGUCCGGGCUAAGUUCGUGC